UUUAGACGCAUCACAACAUAUUCCUUGGAGGAGACAUUCACACGGAAGCUUGAUGAGUACUCACGAGGUCUUUUGCGGCUAAUGCGCGCCAAAGGAGAAGUAGCUGGUUGCAAGAUGUGUCCUCUGCUGGACACUUUAAAUGACACACAGAACAUUGAGAAACAUGAGAUGCUGUUGUCUGCUGCCUCAUUAAAGACAAGACUACCUUGGUGAAAAUCAAGAAGAUCUUUUCCAUUACUACCAGGAAUGUGAGGACUACACAGACAAAAACAUGAAGGUGAUUGUGAAGCACAAUGUCAUGGCUGAGGAGGAUCCAGAUUUGUCUAUUGUGAUCGAGGGAAACCAAGUAAUGGAAUCACAGAGUUUAGAUACAACAAAAUGUGAUUGGACUUCUUCAGUACUGCUCUGAUCUCCUCGCUUCUAGUUUCAUUUUCUACUCUCUCCUCCUCCUAAAACAGCAAUGUUUUAUUAUCCAACAUUAUUGAAACAACAUUUGAUAGUCCAGUGAGUUAACAUGUUCAUUACUUGAAAUGUUGUGUAAAGUUAUUGUGCUGCACUGUAUUUUGAGUGUUUCAUAUGAAUUUUUGGAUUAAAAACAUUGAUCUGAUGAA